rnacentral:rRNA from 1 species
CCUACGGGAGGCAGCAGUGAGGAAUAUUGGUCAAUGGACGCAAGUCUGAACCAGCCAUGCCGCGUGCAGGAAGACGUCUCUCUGAGUUUUAAACUCCUUUUGUACGAGGGUAAAUCCCUAUCCGUGUACCGCCUUGCAUGUACCGUACGAAUAAGGAUCGCCUAACUCCGUGCCAGCGGCCGCGGCAAUACGGAGGAUUCAAGCGUUAACCUGAUUUAUUGGGUUGAAAGGGUGCGUAGGCGGUUCGGUAAGUUGGGGGUGAAAUCCCGGGGCUCAACUCCGGAACUGCCUCUGAUACUGUCGGGCUAGAGUUUAGGUGCGGGAGGCGGAAUGUAUGGUGUAGCGGUGAAAUGCAUAGAGAUCAGACAGAACACCGAUUGCGAAGGCAGCCUACCAGACUGGGACUGACGUUGAGGCGCGAAAGCGUGGGGAGCAAACAGGAUUAGAUACCCCAGUAGUC